GCUGAUAAGGGUUUAAAUACGACACGUGUUGAUGAAAGUCUGUGUUUUCACAAGUUUGCGGUUAAUUGGAACAGGAGUGAUUGGAAUAUAAUUAGUUAAGGAUUAUAAUUAGACUAUGCAAAGAAAUGGGAUAACAGUUGGUGGCGGCAUGCAUGGGCUCUUUCAUCACACUUCUCCCUUGAACAAGACUGUGCGGUUAUUGAAUGGGCACAGGCGAAAGCCACCCUUACCACAGAUGAACACUUUGAGCAGAAUGGAGUGGAUACAUUGGUAAUCUGUCCGAGUCUCACCAAAACCUGUGCAAAGUCUCUACAGUGGGACUGCUUCUACCAACGUCCACAGCUGACUGUGAGAGGUUUCAGCAGUUGAAAGUGUAAAGACCACCCACCAUUCACCAGUGAGCAUGAAAGCGCUUAAUGCCUUACUCAUGGUGUCCAUGCAGGGACAAAAAAAUGAAUGACUUUAAUUUCAGAAGUGCAGUAAAGGAAUGGCACAGUGCCAAAGACAGACACUUACAUGAAAAAAAAUUCCUAUUUGUUGUUAGUGUUAGUACAAAAGAAGUGGAAGGACAUAUGUGUUGUUCGAAAAUACUUAUAAAAGAAGUGGACAUCUGUGUAGUGUAUAUGAUAUAUUGAUGGUUAUAUGAUUAUGUGAAAAUGUAGAAGUAAUGAAAUACAUGUUGUUGUGUUUUUUUUGCGUAUGGUAUACUUAAAAAAGCACCAUUUGGGUUCGACUUUUUAAAAAAAAUCGAACACGGGAGGGGAAACACCUCCCGCACCCACCCCUUAUCCCUCCGCGCAAACUUUACCCCAGUGCCUUCAAAAAUUUCUGGGGAAGGGCCUGCAGACGGUACAUAGCCCGACUGUCGAUGCUCUUCAAGAUCGCCAACGGCAUCGCAGAAGUCCCUGACAGCCCUGGCAUUCACACAGGUGGCAGUAACGCACAUAGGAUACAGUAUGGGUCCAUGAGCCAUAUGCACUUAAAUUUACUACAAUUAGGAAUGUUACUGCCACCUGUGGGCAUUCAUUGACACAAAGCGACAAGCGAACCAGCGGCGCCAACAGUUUCUUUCAAAUUAUCCCACUUUCUACGCACAAUAAGCAUCUGGAAUCGCCUACCUGCCAGGGUUACCAACUGCCAUACCAUCGAGGGGUUCAAGGCAGCAUUGGUGUCCCUGCCAAGUUACUAUCAUCCAGAACCGUAUACUUGUUUUUUUUUUCUUUACUAGUUUAUAAGCGCCUGACCAACAUAGAUCCAUCAAAUGAUGAUAGAUAAGUUUAGACCAUACAAUCUAAGUACGCAAAAGAAAAGAAGUUCGGUAAUGAGUGUU